GAAAAAUGAGAUUGUGAUAGAUUCUGCAGCAGUAAAACUGAUGUAGCUUGAAGCUGUAAUGAAUGUUCAUUAUACCGUGUCCUACAUUAGUCAAGACUGUGAAGAAAUUCCUGAAUUCCUGGGAAGGAAAUAUGGACAUAUGGCAAAAAGGCUAGAUCUUAGCUUCAACUUGUUAAGUAUUUCCUCAUGAUCGCUGUUACGAAACAAGAGUGAAGGCCUGCAGAAAUAACUGUUAUCUGUGGACAAGAAGCUUGACUGAAAGGAAGAACCUGCAUUAACUCUGAAGCUAUUGUCUCUUUUGCUCUCUUUUGUUGGAAGGUAUCUUCUCUGUUUAACUCAGUACACAAGAUUCUCCACACCUAACUGCAGCUGUUAAGACCUUGAUUAGUCUUGCUUACCACCCCUGAGUAAGAAGGGCUUCUGGAUUCCAGUAUUCAACAAGCCUGCUGAGUGAUCGUUUUACAAAUAGCUAGCUUGGACUUGGCACAAAAAAUCUAUCAGAUGCUUCUGUUUAUUUAUUGCUUGUUGACUAUAUUUUGUCUUCUGUGCCUUGUGCCUUUUUUGAGGUCUUGCAUUUUAUGUAAAUCAACUUUACAUUAAUUGGAGAUGGUUUUUCAGUUGAAAAAGGCAACCCCAAAACCCUUAGCUAGUGGAAAUGUGAAGAACGAGUAUCACAGAAGUGCAAAAGGGCUGUGCGUUGUACUCAGGCUAACGAGCCAGCCUGUCAAAUCAGACAUGUUAAACAAUAAUUAUACUGUCUUUAAGGUCAUAGCUGAUGAAGUGCUGUAGCUCAGUUCCGGGCUUUUACUGUGAACUGAAGCUGGCAGUCAUGUGGAGUUUGGUGAUUUUGUUUUGUUUCAUAUUGUCUGUCGUCUUGAUCAUGCUUGCAUCAUGAUGAGUGAGUUGCUCUGUGGAAGAGCCAAAAGAUCUGCUGGCUGUCAUUUCCUUUCUUUACAAUUUGUUCUCCUUUUUUUUUUAAUCUUCAUUUGCCCACUGAGUGUGUUAAACGGAAACAGUGAAAAUUCUUCAUAUUAUAUGGCCAUAAGAGUUUGUUCUUUUUUGAAGCCAUUUAAAAGCUCAUGUUCAUGUGAACUUCUGCUAUGCUGAAAAUGUAUAGUAAUUACUUCUUUUAAAAGAACACAAAUUGGAGAUGCAAAAUGAGUCAUGCUAUAUAGGAUAGCUUAUAGUCUAUCCUAAACUCAGAGAAGUCAUUAAUAUUCUUGCUCAUUGGAUGGAAUAUCGCUGAACUGUAGAAUAGAUCCUCUUCAAGUGCUAAAGUCUCUCAUGUUUUCUCCUUCACUGUUGGUAUCUAAGUUGCACUGAUGGGUAGUAGUACCUGAAUGCAUAUAUAACUCCAGUUCAUUUCUUCUUCUAUACUUGAAAGCAUAGUGUGUGUGGGAUGCUGCUCUCAGUGGUAGUUUGCUGGCAUCACGUAUACACACGCACCCCAGCAUCUUAAAAUGUCUUUAUAUAUAAUGUGUGUAUGUUAUUUUUAAUACAUAAAAAUUUGGGUGGUGAUGAUCUAGUAUUUGGUCUACUUUGAUUUAGUAGUUGAAAUAGGGCUUUGUCAGUGAUAACCUUCUCAUGCUCAACAUAGGAAGAAAUAAUGUAUUACUUUAGGAUUACUAAUAAAAAGAACACAUCAGAGAUGGGUGAUGGGAGAAGGAACUGAGCUGAUAGAAUUAGAUUAAAAUAAAAGCAGUCUCAGAAU
rnacentral:lncRNA from 7 species